UUGGCUAAGAGGAAAGCAGAUAAAUAAUGAAGCAGGGAAAACAAAGGUUGGCCUGCUUGGGGGUGCAACCAUUUGUUUUCGUCCGUUUCCUAAAAACCCAACUCUUAUUUUUUGUGUUGGUUGCAAACAUGCCUCCAUUAUUUCACAUAAAGAUUCUGAGAUAACUCCUUGAGAAGGAGAGAUGGGUGAAGGAUUCAAGAAUUGGUUUGCCAAAACUUCAUCAUCAUUAAAGGUUAUUCUGUUUGCAGUGCUUUUGAUUCUGGUGUCAGGUUCUGCUCCCCUUUUUGUUCAAAGACGCUCCAACUUGGCUUUAAUUUAUGUUGUCCCUACUUCAUCUUCUUCAAACACUAAUUUAGAUGCAGUACAGAGGCCAAGUUACAUGCAAAAGAAAGUGAUAGUCCAGUAGAUUUGCAUUCAGAGGUGGUAGUGUUGGUGGAUGAUCACAGCAGGAAAGAAGCUUUGUCAGAUGAGGCUGCCCUUAGCAAGUCUGUUUCUCCAACAAUUGAUGCUCGGUCCUUGCAAGUUCAGCAGUUUAGCGGCAGAAAUGAAGACAACCCAAACAUGUCAAUAAGCGAAAACUUCAGCUCCACCACACCCUUCAAAGAAAAUGAAUCGAUUGAUCCUCCUUUGAAGCACAGAAGACGAAGAGUCUACACUAAAUUGGAUAGGCUGGAAGAUGGUCUACGAAAAGCACGAGCUGCCAUUAAAGAAGCUAUGAAUUGGAGUCAAUUACACGAUCCUGAUUA